rnacentral:lncRNA from 1 species
CCGACUACAAAAGCUACUACCACCAGCAAGAAAAACUACUACCACCAGCAACAAAAGCUACUCCAUCAACUAGAAAAGCUACUACCACCGACUACAAAAGCUACUACCACUAGCAAAAAAAGCUACUAUCCCUAACUACAAAAGCUACUACCAUACAUAAUAAAAUCUACUACUACCAAGUAAUACAAAAUAUACUAUUACAGUGUCAAAAAUAUACUAUCGUAAUGACAAAAAUAUACUAUCGUAAUGACAAAAAUAUACUACUACUGUGUUGGAAAUAUACUAUCAUAACCAUAACCAGUCAAUUGUGAGCUUGUUGAGCGUUGAGCAUGUCAAGAGGACGGUUCCAUUCUCGGUAGAGCCUUCGUUUCCCGACGCUGUCGAUGCCAGCAACGACGGGUUUAUCUGGAUCGGAUCUAGAGGUGAAGGCGCUAGAUGGUUGAGCGGAUCAAAUCAGAAGGCGUCAUUGUCAAUCCGGAGGCUUCAUCGUUGGGCCGGCGACGUCGAGGUCGAAUCAGAACACGUCAAGGUCAAAUCAGAAGAGGCCGAGGUUAAGGCCGAAUUAGAAGUCUGGAUCGGAUCUAGAGGUGAAGGCGCUAGAUGGUUGAGCGGAUCAAAUCAGAAGGCUUUAUCGUCGAUCCGGAGGCUUCGUCGUUGGACCGGCGAUGUCGAGGUCGAAUCAGAAGAGGCCGAGGUUGAGGCCGAAUUAGAAGUCGUCGUUGAUGGAAUUAGACGCAGUCAAGGCGUCAACGUCAAGCUGGCAGCGUCGAGGUCGAGGCGUCAUCGUUGGCCGGCAGCGUUGAGGUCGAGGUCGAGGCGUCGUCAUCGUCGUCAGAGUAGCAGAUCGGCGCCGAGCUAUCAUCGUCGAGUCAGUGUUGGCCUGAGACGCCGCCAUGGCCGGAGAUUCAAGAUCGGAGAAGAGAGGGAGGAGGAAGACGAUGAGCCAGAGAGAGAGAGAGAGAGAGAGAGAGAGAGAGAGAGAGAGAGAGAGAGAGAGAGAGAGAGAGAGAGAGAGAGAGAGAGAGAGAGAG